AUCAUUACCGAGUUAUCCAACUCCCAACCCCUGUGAAUUAUACCUUUAAUUGUUGCUUCGGCGGGACUUCGCGCCCGCCGGGGACCCAAACCUUCUGAAUUUUUUAAUAAGUAUCUUCUGAGUGGUUAAAAAAAAAUGAAUCAAAACUUUCAACAACGGAUCUCUUGGUUCUGGCAUCGAUGAAGAACGCAGCGAAAUGCGAUAAGUAAUGUGAAUUGCAGAAUUCAGUGAAUCAUCGAAUCUUUGAACGCACAUUGCGCCCGUCAGUAUUCUGGCGGGCAUGCCUGUUCGAGCGUCAUUACGCCCCUCAAGUCCCCUGUGGACUUGGUGUUGGGGAUCGGCGAGGCUGGUUUUCCAGCACAGCCGUCCCUCAAAUCAAUUGGCGGUCUCGCCGUGGCCCUCCUCUGCGCAGUAGAUAAAACACUCGCAACUGGAGCCCGGCGCGGUCCACUGCCGUAAAAACCCCCUAACUUUUUAUAGUGGACCUCGAAUCAGGAAGGCGCCUA
rnacentral:rRNA from 1 species